rnacentral:lncRNA from 1 species
GUGCAACAACCAGUUAUAAAACAGUUGAAAAACAACUGGAAGAGAUCAAAGGAGGAAGGACGUUUGAAAUGUACAGUAAUAAGGAACAGCUCAGGGACCAGUUUAUCUGUAUUGCUUCAGCUCAGUAAAGCUGAUAUGAAUCAUAGAAUUGUAGUGUCAUAGAAUGUUUUGGGUUGAAAGGGAUCUUUAAGAUCAACUAAUUCCAACCCCCUGCUACAGACAGGGACACCUCCCUCUAGACCAGGUUGCUCACAGCCCCAUCCAGCGUGAGCUUGAAUGCUUCCAGGGAGGGGGCAUCCGCAACCUUGUUUGGCAACAUAUUCCAGUGUCUCACCGCCCUCAAGGAAUAAUAGGCCUUCUUCCUACUGACAUGGAUUCUCAGAUGGAUCAGUAAUUCAUGUGGCAUUAUCAUCCUGUGAAGAGAAGCCUUGGAAGAGCAAAACAUUGAAACAGAUAAAAGACCUGGAAGAUCCUGUUAUCCUGUCUUUGGCAAGGUACAGAACAAGUGCACAGAGUUGUUUCCCCAGAAAUAUUCACCUUCCUUCCUCCAACAGUUUGCAACUCAAUGUCUUCCUGAGCCAGAGCAGUAAUCACAUUCAACUAUUACUGGACUUCUCUUCCCGGAAUAUUUUCCAUAUCACCUUCAAUUCAUGUAGAUGUUCAGUACCUACAGUAUCCAGAUACCUCUUGGGCCUGUAGCCACUGCCAACUCUUUUCAACAAAAGCAAUGGUAUUGCAUCCCAGGUGAUUUUAAGCUAACAGACUGUCCGCCAGAAGUUGAACAAUAUCAUCUGUCACUUCAAAGCGCUCUUGUGUACGACUUAUCUUACCCUGGCAGAAAGAGGUUCAUUGGGAACUAAAAUGGGCAAGACAUGCAAAGACAGUAGUGAAACAAGCCAAGGAAGGAAUUGUUCAGAAUGGACAACUAAUGCUCAUUUGCAGUGCUUUGCCCAACUCAACAGUUUUGGCACAAGACAUGGACUUGAAGCAUGAGUUGUCCAUCUCUGGGCAAGGGACCUGAUGUUGCACAAAAGAAAUAAAGAAUUCAUUCAAGGGCAUCCAACAGUGUAACGAGAUAAUUACUCUGUCAAAACCAACAGGAUGCACUGCUUCUGGGUUUGGAGGAAAAGGUCCUUGAGUACUGACCAGCUUUCUUGGACCCUUCCUCCUGCCAGGGCUUUCUCCCAUGUCAUCCUGCCAAGCAGCUCCCUGUAGAGUUCAAAGUCAGCUCUCCUGAAGUCCAGAGUAGCAAGCUACGUGACACCAUCUUGGACUGACAAACCUUCACUUUGAACCUCAAGAAGUGGUAGACAAGACACCAGGAAGCUUCUACCAUUGAGUCAUCUUCAUCUUUAUUCCGAAAGACUUGUGUAUGUCAAAAAUUUGGAGGAUGAAACGAAACGAAAGGAUUAAGUCAAGACACAGUCUUAAUUUAAUACAAAGAU